GGCCAACAUGAACGACGAGCUCACCAUCAAGGCCGGUGACGUCAUCAACAUGCACGACAAGCAGGAGGACGGCUGGUGGCUGGGAGAGUUGAACGGCACCGUCGGCAUCUUCCCCGCCACCUACGUCCAGGAGCUGACCUGACCACGUGACGCCACGCAGCGUCCGGCGGCGGCAGCCGGCGACGUCACGUGACUGCGGGUCACCUCGCGAGAUGUCGCCACCGUGUGGUUCCACUGAGACUUGAGCGGGCUCGAUCAGUGGUGUUUGUGAUCACGGCGCUGCGCGCGGCUGAUAGUCUGGCUGGGAGCCCACACGACUUGUGUCGACCUUGCCUGGAGUGGCUGCUGAUACCACGAGAGCUCGCCGAUGUAGUUAGUAUGUCUGCAUUGCCGUUCUUUGUAAAGUGUUGACAAUGAAGCUCGCUGAAGCUAUGUUUGUACCAUUUUGAAGCAGAUGACUAACAAGCAGUGCUGUUGGUCUCCUGCUGGGGAGUUAUUGUGAUGAUAUAACAGAUUACUUGCCUGAAAUGUAUCUGGGUAAUAUACGACUGCAUGAACUGCA